GUCCAGUGGGACCGGGAACUUUCAUCACUAAGUCCACAUGGCAUCCUUCAGAUUCCACGACUUCUCCUGUUUGGAGAGGAGGAACCACAGCCCCACCACAGAGCCUGGCAGAUGGCAGGUGCUCAAGUAUAUUUUUGCUGAAUGAAUGAAUAUGGACACACCUCAGUGAACCAGAGGGCAUCAUCUUGGCACUGGUUACAGAAGACCAUUAAAUCAGCUGGAACCUGUUGAGUAUGUUCCUUUAUACCAUCUAGAGUGCUGAACAUUUUGCUUUCAUGGUCUUAUCCAACACUCCAAUGAAAUAGACACUAUAAUCACUGCGGAGGCAACUAAGGCUCAGAAAGGUGAUGUAAUUGGCCCCGGGUGACGCAGCCAGGAAGUGGCAGAGCCAGCGUUCAAACUCAGGCUCAGGGCUUCAGUAAAUGAAUGGGCAAGUGAACAACUGUGGGAAGCUUUCACAAGCGCAAGGCAACCCCAGACUUGUUGAUGCCAUAUUAUCCAUCGGACGUCCUAAACUCACGCCUGGAAAUGGAAGAGGGGACCGAGACUGUGGGAAGAGAGCACAGAGUCCUUGUAGGUCUGGCACCUGCUCUGAGUUCCGAAAAGAGGGAGGAUACAACGGGCCACUUGGUGGGGCUCCAAGGGGAGCUCUGGGACAGAAAGAAAAUCUUUCACUGGGCCGAAAUAAAAAAUAUUAUUAUUUUUUUAAAUAAUAAAAUAAAUUACAAGGGAGACGUGGCUCAGGGAAUUUCCCCACCUGAAAGAAGGGGGCGUCUGUGUGUGUGUCAGUUUCACUAAAAGAACCUGGACUCCGUGGAAGAGGCAAGGACCAGGGAAGAUCCGUCAAGCUAAACCACAGGAAAAGCAUCUGGAGUCCUGGGGGAAAGGCCUCGCCCAUCCCAAACCAUGGCCUGACACACCUAGACACAGCUCAGCCACCUAGACACAGCUCAGCCACAGGGAGGCAACCUUGCCCUUGAGGUUCUGCUUAAUUUCGUGACAGGCUGGCCAGAGAGUCGUUGAGCUUCUCCUUUGCAGCUUCUCAGACAAGCCUGGAGAGCCCAGCAAGCACCCAGGAGCCCGGGGGAGGGGGGGGAGACCUGUAGAGACUGAGAACUGGCCCAGGCUGCUGCUGAGACAGGAUGUCUGGCAGGUGGGAGGCAGUGGCUUCUGCUUGGGGCUGGCUCACAUUGCCUCCACGGCUGUCGGCAGAGUUGCCCAAAACCAGUUUGCUCGCUUCCUCUUGGCCCCAUCACCACUUCCCCAAAGGCUUAUAUUUUUACAGAGCUUCAUGCUUGCUAGGCAGCAGUGGAGGCUUAGAAAGAGCGAGAUGGCCAAGAAAGCGGCCUCUCCUGGUUCCCCUCCUUAUCCUGCUCCCAGCCCAGCAGCAGGAGGCUGGGCUCUCCAGAAGCCAUCCUCCAGGGGCUGAUCUGGAGCCGCUGUCCCCAGGGGGCUUCAUACUAGGGAAGUGAUCCACAUGGGUUUGACCAAGAAGGAACCAGGGAUUCCUGAGGCCUUAUAGCCUGAUUUCAGGAGGCUCACUCAGAGCCAGUGCAAGGGGGAGGGAGAGUUCAAGGUUCCUGCGCUGGGAGCAACAGGAAAUCCUGCUCAGCAAAGGGGAACUCCCUGAUUAAACGCCCCACCCACCAGACCCCCACUGACACCGCACGUGUCAGAGGCCUCCAGGCCCUAACAGAGAGUCCAGAGAAGAGUUCAGUUAACUCUAAAUUUUGUCCAGGUUGUGGGCACCCAGCAAGCAAGAGUCUCAAUGGCUAGAGGCUUCCCGGCGCCAGCUUCAAGUGUCUGACAGGCUUACUGGGGAGCGCCGGCUGGGGCGCUAUGUUCAGCAAUGACCACCAGGUGGCAACACAUUCCCACAGCCUCUCAGGAUGAGAGCCAAGCUGAGAAGCAGCUCAGAGAAAAACCAGAAGAAGGGAGCACUUAGUGGCACCCCCUUCCAGCCCCGUUUAGCCAGAGACCUCAGAUGGUUCAGAACAUGAAGGAAUUGAGAACCGAGGGCAAGGGAAACAACAACAGAUUGCCCCCUGCCCAAGUUCAAGCCGAUCCCGUGGUGAAUUUCUGGGCAGUACUAAAUUCACUCCUCUUGCCUCAAGAAGGUUGAGAAGCUGCUUCUACUUUGAGACUUGUGAGUAUUCCAGUAAAGCCAGUAUCUGCGUUUUUCUUUAGUGUGUGCGAAGCUACUCACACGCUCGCUCCACUUCACUCAAUGAACAAAACCACCCUGUGGGGCCACGUUACUCAUCUGGGCUCACAGCAGAAGACACUGAGCCCCAGAGGUGGGGGGGGGGGGUCUGCUCAAAGCCAGAGGCGAUGCAGGGACGGGAGCCCGCCGCUGGCCUCCUCACCUCAGGGCAGGUCGGAGAAGACCAGAAGAGGGCCUUCCAGGUGAGGUGGUCCCACAGGGAUGCUUAGCUGCCCCCUGUCCCUGGUUCCUCCCUUAGCACCUGCCAGUCUCUGCCCAGUCCUCUCCUUUCUGUGGCCAGUCUUGCUGGUCCCGCCUCCUGCCUUUCAGAGUCUGCAACUUCUCAAAGCACCUUGAAUGUCUUCAACUUAACGUCAGGCUUCUAAUCACCCGCACCCGUCAGGUGUCUCCUCAAAUCCCAACGUGGGGCAGGUCUCGGGCGCCAACUGUAGAUCCUGGCGUUGACCCACAUUGCCUUUAUCUAUACCCCAGAAAGUGCAGGAACGAAUGAACGGAUAGGACAGGACAACCGCUGAUCCUAAAUGUCUACAGCGGGGCCAUAUCCUGCCCCCCAACCCAUUUUUCUUUUAAACCUUGUACCUAACCUAUACGAUGACACUCCGUAAUGAACUGGGAACAAAGCAAGAGAUACAUAACCUCCCUCUUCUGCUCCGUGGGCGGUCUUCCCUCCUACUCCACAAGGCCUUUCGUAUCUAUGAUCGUGACAGUGUGAGAGAACACCAACACCUUGUAGGUAAGGACUGUUAGAUCCAUUCCACAGAUGAGGAAACAGGCAUGGUGACAAAUGAGUGACUUGCUCUUGGCAACACCAGCAGUAAAUGACAGAGCUGGGGCCCAGACCCAAGUCUACCCUUGGUUCCAAAGCCCUGGCUCUUCCCAGCGCAGUUCCACCUCAGUUAUACCAAAACCCAGCUUGUCAUUGGAGGCAGACAUUCUUCGGUGCUCUACUGGGUAAGUCUUGUGUCACGGGUCAGGCGAGCUGGGGAGAAAUGGGGUCAGUGCGUUAUCUUGUCGACUGGCUGCUCCCCAGCUCAGCUGAGAAGAUGGUGGUUUGGGGUCUGGGUGGGCAGCUGGCACACCUCUGCCUUCUCCGUGAGCUGCUCCUUCCUCCAGUCUGAGAUUAGACAGCAGCAUCUCCCUAAAUGCCUUCCCAGGUAACCUGAUCCUCUCUGCUUUUUAUUAAGGGUAAAUACAGAAUGCUUUCAUAGGAAGUAUAUCCCAGCAUUUCAUCACGACUGAGGAGAGCGAUCUGUUGCCGUGCUCCUUAGAGAAAGUUUCCUGGCGUAAACUUCACCGAGGAGUUUAGGGCUGGCAGAGAGGUUGCUUUUCUUCCUAAACCAGCCUGUUUUGUGUCAUCGCUUCGUGCGAGGCUUUGUGUAAUUCAGCUUUGCCAAGGCAGCGAAGAGGCUCGGAGCCGGUGUUCUGUCUUUGUGACCACGCUUUUGGGAGACUUUCCCCUGCGUCUUUAGGCUACUUGCCAUCCCUCUGCUCCCCGUGUGUGAGCGACUGUCGUGCCAUAUUCUCCGACUGGGAGGGACCUCCCUUCCUUUUUGGAAGUAGGCAGGGUAUAAUAAAUACAUACAAUUAACGUUA